ensembl:lncRNA
UUCACCCAAAUAUGAGAAUUUAAUUAUUAUACUAAACCUAUAUGCUGUUUGUUUUUUGUAUUUUUGGGUUGGUACCAGUAUAUAUUUGUUCAAAUAAUUGUACUUCAUAGAACUGUGAGGCUCAAAAAAAAGUAUAUGAAUAUCCACAUCGGUUUCUUAAAAGUAAACAAAAUAAAAUAAAUAGCUUUAACCAGCUUAAGCUGGUUCUCUAGUCUCCUAGACUGGCCAGUUGGCUGGUUUUAGAGUGGUUUGGGGCAGCUUGUGAGACUAGGAAAUCAGAUAGAAUAUCUGGAAACCAGCUUGGCCAGCCUGGAAGACCUUCUUAAAACAGCAAACACAUUUUGGCUAACCAAAAUCAUUAUUCAUAAUCUUGCUACCCAAAGCUUAUGUCUGGCUGACGUUCAUAAUUCAAUAGAUAGAUAGAUUUUUACCUCAUACUAUAUAAUUCAGUGUAAUUGCAGCCUCAUUAUGGGCUCUGGGUUUUAGGGUGACAUGAAGCACUGCGCUGCUCUCAAAGGGCAGAUGGAGUGGCAGAGGGCACACACCUCAGGGCAUGACCGAUCUAGGACACUGUCCCUGUGCUGCCACUCACCUGGGAGGCGUGCUGCUCAGUGAUAAUGGCAGUGGGAGAGCCAGAAGCAGCUAUCCGCCUCUAGUGAUGCUGAAAUGGGAUUUGGGCUGUGCUCGGGCGGAGGAGGUUAUUAUGGAUCAGGGGGGCCUGGUUUUGAAACAGAGCUAAACUGGGCUGUGGUACGACUAGAACCGCUGGGAUGUCUGUUAGCUUUCCUCGCUAACAAUGGCAGAUAAGACAAAAGUGGUUGUUUGCCAUCUCUCUCUUACACACCGGCCCAUUAAAGGUGUGCUGUUAUCUGAUAAGCCGUGAGGGGUGUGAUCACUUACACACAUAAACACACAAAUACACACCUGCUGUCCCUCAUUCAGUGCUCACUUAUGACCUCAAACCCGUCUCACUCGGUCCACAGUGUCCCUACACUGAAAGAGAGAGAAACUGUUUUGUGGCUCUGUGAUUUUUCUGUUGUUUUGUUCUCAUUCAAGUGCCCUCCUAGCUUAU